UACGUAGGGUGCGAGCGUUGUCCGGAAUUAUUGGGCGUAAAGAGCUUGUAGGCGGUCUGUCGCGUCUGCUGUGAAAAUCCGGGGCUCAACCCCGGACUUGCAGUGGGUACGGGCAGACUAGAGGUAGGUAGGGGAGAUCGGAAUUCCUGGUGUAGCGGUGAAAUGCGCAGAUAUCAGGAGGAACACCGAUGGCGAAGGCAGGUCUCUGGGCCACUACUGACGCUGAGAAGCGAAAGCAUGGGGAGCGAACAGG
rnacentral:rRNA from 1 species